UACGUAGGGUGCAAGCGUUAAUCGGAAUUACUGGGCGUAAAGCGUGCGCAGGCGGUUAUGUAAGACAGAUGUGAAAUGCCCGGGCUUAACCUGGGAACUGCAUUUGUGACUGCAUGGCUAGAGUUUAGCAGAGGGGGUAGAAUUCCACGUGUAGCAGUGAAAUGCGUAGAUAUGUGGAGGAACACCGAUGGCGAAAGCAGCCCCCUGGGUCAAGACUGGACGCUCAUGCACGAAAGCGUGGGAGCAAACAGG
rnacentral:rRNA from 1 species